rfam:Operophtera brumata OBRT01_Sc02448, whole genome shotgun sequence.
CACAAGGCCCUUUUCAGGGCCAUCAUACCUAAUCUGGUCACUGACA